GGAUAUAGCUCAGUUGGUAGAGUGCUUACCUUGCAUGCACAAGGCCUUGUGUUCAAUCCCUAGAACCA
rnacentral:tRNA from 1 species